CCAGGAAGAAAAGAAAGAACCAAAUGGAUAGAAAUCACUAAAUCAUAAAUUUCAUGUAGCGGCACCUAUAGCCAGAACUGGCAGCGGCAACCGGCUAGAAUAGCGGUGUAAAUCGCGCCACUCAUGGUGGUCAUCUCGAAAAUCCUUUGUUUAGUAUAGUCGGUUCUGCAUAGAACGAGUUGCACCGGUGGAGGGCGUCACCUCCGCGAGCAAGGUCGCGAAGGAGGAGUCUUUCGCUCGGUCGUUCACGCCGAUUACGGCUUCCGGUUCGGUGUCUUCUUCCUUUCGAGUAAUAGCGGGUUUUGAGUAUGUCUUCGGCGAAGCUUAUGGAUUUUCUUGGUGGUGGUAAUGGAGGACAAGGAUGGUUGUUCUAGCGUUGCAGCGUUAGGGGAGGUUAUGAAAAUGUUUAUGGAUGGUGUUUGUUUUACCAAUUAGCUUAAUUUUUAUUUACCAAUUAGCUUAAUGUUUUUGGAUGGUGUUGGCUUUGAUUUAGUAAUGAAAAUGGUGGUUAUGUAGAUGAUAUUAUAAUAUGUAUGUUAUAAGCAAUGAAUACAGAUGCAUUCCAGUUUAAGAAUGUUUGUAACAUGUGAUGUGUUACUAACCUGAUGGUUUGCCUAUAAUUGGUCUUUCUCCUUAUCCUUGGAAUCACA
rnacentral:lncRNA from 1 species